rnacentral:tRNA from 2 species
UAGGAGAUAGUAUAGUUGGGAGUACAAAAGAUUUUGGAUUUUUUAUUGUGGGUUCGAGUCCCAUUCUUCUAA